GUGGGUGUGAAGAAAAGGUAGAAAGAAAAGAGGAAAGAGAGGAAGAAGAAAAAAAGAAUCCUGAGAGUGAGAGGAAAAAGAAGAAAACGUGGAGAGAGAAAAGGAGGAAAGAGAGAAGAGAGAAAAAAAGAAAAGAAAUAAAGGAAAAGAAGUGGAGAGAGAAAAAAAAGAAAAAAGAAAAAGAAAAAUGAAAAUAAAACCAAGUGGUACUCCACCAAUGGCUAAAGGAGUUUUUUUUAAA
rnacentral:lncRNA from 1 species